rnacentral:rRNA from 1 species
AUUGAACGCUGGCGGUAUGCCUUACACAUGCAAGUCGAACGGCAGCAUGGAGAGCUUGCUCUCUGAUGGCGAGUGGCGAACGGGUGAGUAAUGCACCGGAACGUACCGUGUAAUGGGGGAUAACGUAUCGAAAGUUACGCUAAUACCGCAUACGACCUGAGGGUGAAAGCAGGGGAUCGCAAGACCUUGCGUUAUACGAGCGGCCGAUGUCAGAUUAGGUAGUUGGUGAGGUAAAGGCUCACCAAGGCGACGAUCUGUAGCGGGUCUGAGAGGAAGAUCCGCCACACUGGGACUGAGCCACGGCCCCGACUCCUACGGGAGGCAGCAGUGGGGAAUUUUGGACAAUGGUGGCAACCAUGAUCCAGCCAUGCCGCGUGGGUGAAGAAGGCCUUCGGGUUGUAAAGCUCUUUCGGCCGGGAAGAAAUCGCACAGGCUAAUACUCUGUGUGGAUGACGGUACCGGCAUAAGAAGCACCGGCUAACUACGUGCCAGCAGCCGCCGUAA